rnacentral:rRNA from 1 species
AGUGAACGCUGGCGGUAGGCCUAACACAUGCAAGUCGAACGAGUCGCGGACGGGUGAGGAAUACAUCGGAAUCUACUCUGUCGGGGGGGAUAACGUAGAGAAACUUACUAUAAUCCCGCAUCCGAUUGAAUGCGCCGAUGUCGGAUUCGCUAGUUGGCGGGGUAAAGGCACACCAAGGCGACGAUCCGUAGCUGGUCUGAGAGGAUGAUCAGCCACACUGGAACUGAGACACGGUCCAGACUCCUACGGGAGGCAGCAGUGGGGAAUAUUGCACAAUGGGCGCAAGCCUGAUGCAGCCAUACCGCGUGGGUGAAGAAGGCCUUCGGGUUGUAAAGCCCUUUUGUCGGGAAAGCGGUACUCAAAGAAUAAGCACCGGCUAACUUCGUGCCAGCAGCCGCGGUAAUAC